AUUGAACGCUGGCGGCAGGCCUAACACAUGCAAGUCGAGCGGAUGAAGGGGGCUUGCUCCUGUCUUCAGCGGCGGACGGGUGAGUAAUUCCUAGGAAUCUGCCUUGUCGUGGGGGAUAACGUCCGGAAACGGGCGCUAAUACCGCAUACGUCCUGAGUGUGAAAGUGGGGGAUCUUCGGACCUCACGCUAUCAGAUGUCCCUAGGUCGGAUUAGCUAGUUGGUGGGGUAAAGGCCUACCAAGGCGACGAUCCGUAACUGGUCUGAGAGGAUGAUCAGUCACACUGGAACUGAGACACGGUCCAGACUCCUACGGGAGGCAGCAGUGGGGAAUAUUGGACAAAGGGCGAAAGCCUGAUGCAGCAAAGCCGCGUGUGUGAAGAAGGUCUUCGGAUUGUAAAGCACUGUAAGUUGGGAGGAAGGGAAGUAAGUUAAUACCUGGCUGUUUUGACGUUACCAACAGAAUAAGCACCGGCUAACUUCGUG
rnacentral:rRNA from 1 species